rnacentral:rRNA from 1 species
GCCGCCAGCUCGUACGCGACCCCAGGUCAGGCGGGGCUACCCGCUGAGUUUAAGCAUAUCAAUAAGCGGAGGAAAAG